CCUACGGGAGGCAGCAGUGAGGAAUAUUGGUCAAUGGGCGUAAGCCUGAACCAGCCAAGUCGCGUGAGGGAUGAAGGUUCUAUGGAUCGUAAACCUCUUUUAUCAGGGAAUAAAGUGCGGGACGUGUGCCGUUUUGUAGGUACCUUAUGAAUAAGGAUCGGCUAACUCCGUGCCAGCAGCCGCGGUAAUACGGAGGAUCCGAGCGUUAUCCGGAUUUAUUGGGUUUAAAGGGUGCGUAGGCGGGCUUUUAAGUCAGCGGUGAAAGUCUGUGGCUCAACCACAGAAGAGCCGUUGAAACUGGGUGGCUUGAGAAUGUUAGAGGUAGGCGGAAUGCGUGGUGUAGCGGUGAAAUGCUUAGAUAUUGCGCAGAACUCCGAUUGCGAAGGCAGCAUGCCAA
rnacentral:rRNA from 1 species